UCGAUGGCUAGCGGGGAAACUGCAAGUGUUUGCCAAGUUGUCUUCUCGCAUUGGGUGUCUGGCCCGUCAGCGCAUUACGUCUGCGGAAAUGCGUUUUUAUACUCUACUUUGCAGCUCAUCACGGUUAUACGAGUUGUAUUUUUCUUCCUAAUGAUCGCCUGCAAUGCUGUCAUGUGGACAAUAUUUACAAAGGCAUUACGUCUUUGCACUACGACCUUGGAGGCUGCAGCGACCAACACGGCAUCGAACUUUUUCUUUACCGCGGCAUCAACCCGGCCUGUCCGUGCUGUGGACAUCCCAGAUGCACUCUUAAGCACAUGCUCUGGCAGUGCCUCGACUUGCGCGGGGGCUCAGGGUCUCCCUCUUUGGAGGAAGACUGGCUCCGGCUCGUCACAAGCUCCUCCAAGGAAGAGCAACUCAGGGCUGUCCAGAGAGCCCGCAAUAUCGCCGAGAGCCUCAACCUCCCGGCUCCGUCGUGGGUGCGGCCCACAGACGCUGCGCCCUAAUGGGGGCACUCAUCGUCUUCUCAGGAUCAAAAUAAAAGUUCUUUGUCUGUCUGUCUGUCUGUCUGUCCUCUUAAACUGGAGCCCUCCGGUGUGGUGUCCCUCAUAACCAACUCUGCCAGUUUCAGGACAUCAGACCCAUAAUUUAAAAUUGUCUAUUUGCUUCAUAUUUCCUGCUGUGUAUCCCUAGAGGUGUCAUCAUGAUAACUUUGCUAGAUGAGUAUGAAGCUCUUCAUAUUCUGCAAACUUGUGCUUAUUUUCACAUUUUGUGUGUGGGGCCACUGAAGUUUAUGGUCCCAAGUUUAAUGCUAUGGCACCGUACAGUUUGUGCUGCAUGAUCUACUCCAUGGCGAAGUAUAUUUUUUUCUGGCAUUUGGCAGCUGUAUUCCUGUGGGUGGAAGUGCGACUAUAGUAAGUGUGGCUUUUUUUGCUUACUUGAAGAAAGGUCAGUGAGGAUAUAGGCCAAGGUGCUGACUUUGUGCUAUGGAUCUGUUGAGGCCAUGGCAACAAAGACAAAGAAUUGCUGAUUCCAGACUGUGGUUGCACGUGUGUGUGUGUGCCUUGUGUCUCAACUUUUUUCUGUUUUCCCAAUAAGUGCCCCCAUAGUCCAGUGGUGAGCAUAUGUUGGUCAUUGAGCUUUUUGUGAAAAGAGUUUAGAGAGGCAAAUAUGUGCCUGAAUAUGUAAAGCUAAGACAAGGAAGGAAUAGUGGAAAGCCUCAGAAACCGAGAUGUCACAAGAAGGUAUGAGGAACUUCAGACAACUUAAGAUGGAUGCAUAAUUCUAAUUUCUUAUUAUUUUCUGAUUAACAUAAUGUAAACCAUCCGAAAAUUUCUUGAGUGUAGUGUUAUGUCCUAAGGUGCAUCAAUAUGCAACUAAGCCCAAUAGUAUUUUCGAACAAAACCUAUUUGUAAUUGUUAUUUAUGACUGGAAAAAGUUAUUUGUAGAUAUGUUCAAGUUUAGGCAAAGAGCAAUAAUUUUAAAGCAACAUUGAAUUGUGAUAUUAAAAAAAAAAAAAUUUUAAAUGGCGCAAUGGCUUUCAGGAAAAAUUUAGUACAUAUCAGGCAGAUAAUUUUAACGGAUGCCUUGUAACAAGCUGGUGCUGAUUGUGAGAAGUGCCAGAAAUAUAACAGCUUAUCAUGGGUGGUAAGGUUGAUGAGAUUCCUUUACUACUCAUGCAUUGUGACUAGUAUAUGACUUUUCCUGACCUUGGCACCAUGUUCUAGAACCUUUUGUGGGUUUUGUUAAACACUGCAAUACCUGUUAUUUGUAGCAGAGCAAUUAAUGAUCACAUCUAUAAACGGUUUUGGUAGCAUAUGGCAUUGCUCUUACUCCUAACACAUUGCAGUGCCAUAUUUGAAGAAGCAAGGUGUUUCUUUGUAACAUUUUGGGCACAUUCCAGGUGAGCAGUUACAUAAAUUUCUCUCUUCUACUCAUGUUCAGUCUACACUUCGGCAAGUUGUUUGCGAUGGGUGCCACAGUCACGUAUAAGGUGUGUCAACAGACAGUGUGAAUGUUUUAUUGCUGUAGAUGCGUAGCACUUCAUGCAAAACCUGCGAAUGAAUUGUAGCAGUAUUGGAUUUCUGCAGCUAGCAUUACAAAAUAUGAACAUGUGCAGCACUAUAGGCAAUAUGAAAACUUUUAUGAAAGCCACUGCUAAGCAGAAGUGGCCAUGAUGUAGAAGUUGGGUAAUUCAAAAGUUGCCACCAGAGACAGUUGACACCAGCUUCAUGUUUCCACUGUGGCAUCAAAUUUUUAGCUGCAUAAGGUCAUGGGCAUGUGACUGACACAAACAACCCCUUCUUUAUUGAGAAAAGGCUUCCAUUGUUUCCCAGGUGAACCGUUAUGUUCAAGCUAACUACUUCAGAAAUCAUGUUAUUUGAACAUUCAUUUUGAAACCGUUGAUCACUUGUAUGCUUACGGUGUGUGGCAUUUCAUUCUCCCAUAGUUACGUGUACCUAUGCCACUCUUGUAAAUAUGCUAAUGUGAAAUAAGUGGGGCUCUGGCGAUAUCAGGUAUUAAAGAGGAAAAAAAAAGGGAAAGCAUGUGUACUGGUUUUACGUCUCAGUAAAAAGUAUAUUGAAUCCAAUUGUUUUAGGCCUGUAAACACAGUUGCUCACUAUUGAUUUUAAAUGUGAUCUCCCAAAGCCAAGUUGAUCAUAUGCACUUGAAUUGUGUUUUAGCAGAUGACCCAGUUAGACCAAUUGAGUGUCUGACUGCGUCAAUUUAUAGUAUGUUAUCUCUUUCACAAUAUGUACAUAUUGUUCCAAUGUUGAAUUAUGUUAACAGGCAAAAUAAUGGAGUCUUCUUUCACUAAUAGACUAUCUGUGCAUUUAUUUUUCUCUUGUUAUCUAGCAGUGACAACAGUUUUAUAGAAAGACCACGAAAUUAGUAUAUGGCAGUUCCACAUGAUCCUUUUCAUGUUGUGGUGACUGUUUCACUUAGUGGUCUACUUUUGCUUGCUUUAGGUACAGGGGCUGUGAGUUAGUUUAGACUGCCUGCAUUUUUUAAUGUACACCCAGGUCUUAGAUGCAUGAGUGUGUUGUCAUUAGGCCUCAACCAUAUAGUGUGGCAGCCAUGGCUGGGAAUUGAAUCCAUCAUCUGCUCAGUAUCAGAAUGGUGGUUGGUUUCACCUUUAUAUGAAUGAGUAUAGCACUUGUCUGUGUCUGUUCCUCUCUGUGGUAUGCUUGUGUUGAGCUGCAGUGUUUAAAUAUGAAGGUGCGGCAUCUGUCUUGUUUUGUGUCCCGCACUUGUUCACAGCCUUGGUAACAAGAAUUUGGUUUACUACUUCUGUGAGGUAUAGUUGUCAGCUGGUCUGCUCAACAACAUGAGUGGACCAAAAAUUAGGGCUCCUUUUGUAAACAAAAGGAACCACAGUUUACUGCAUGCUGAGUAACAUUUUGUAAUAAGACUACUAAAAGAUUUUUUAUUACAAAAUAAAUGCUUGCAAUUAGUUUCA